CAGUCGCCGCGGUAAUACGAAGGGGGCUAGCGUUGCUCGAAAUUACUGGGCGUAAAGGGCGCGUAGGCGGCGCUCCAAGUUAGGCGUGAAAUUCCCGGGCUCAACCUGGGGACUGCGCUUAAGACUGGAGUGCUUGAGGAUGGAAGAGGGUUGUGGAAUUCCCAGUGUAGAGGUGAAAUUCGUAGAUAUUGGGAAGAACACCGGUGGCGAAGGCGGCAACCUGGUCCAUUACUGACGCUGAGGCGCGAUAGCGUGGGGAGCAAACAGGAUUAGAUACCCCUGUAGUCCCUGUUUCUUAUAA
rnacentral:rRNA from 1 species